GACGAACGCUGGCGGCGUGCCUAAUACAUGCAAGUAGAACGAUGAAGCGAGGAGCUUGCUCUUCUUGGAUGAGUUGCGAACGGGUGAGUAACGCGUAGGUAACCUGCCUUGUAGCGGGGGAUAACUUUUGGAAACGAUAGCUAAUACCGCAUAACAAUGGAUGCCACAUGUUUUUUAUUUGAAAGGCGCAAUUGCUCCACUACAAGAUGGACCUGCGUUGUAAUUGCUAGUAGGUGAAGUAAUGGGCUUACCAAGCGACGAUUCAUAGCCCGACCGGGAGGGGUGACCGCCAACACUGGACCGGGACACCGGCCCAGACUCCUCCGGGAGGAAGCAGUGGGGAACCUUGGGAAAUGGGGGAAAGCUUGCCGGGGAACGGCGCGGUGGGGGAGGAGGUUUUCGGGUUGUUAAGCUCCUGUUAAUGUGAAGAAACAAAGUUGUAGGGAAAUGUGCACGUUUUGACGGUACCUAACCAGAAAGCGACGGCUAACUACGUG
rnacentral:rRNA from 1 species